UUGGCGUCAAAAUGUCAUUUUGAAUUUUACUGUCGAAAAGUUUUGUCUUGCUAAUGAUAAAUAAAUAAUAACAUAGAAUAAACUAAAAACGAUAUAUAAUAUAUCAUGUUAAUUAUUGCCAAUAGAGGCGUUUGCGCGCAUAAUAUAUACCUACAAUAAUAUCGACUCGUAUGAGCAAACGAUACGACCUACCACUGUUACUGGUGGUAUGUGUCGAACUGAUGAUAGUAGAACCACAGAGCAUGUCGUCUCUGGAGAUUUGACCAACGAAAACGGAUAUUACAAGAAGCCAUCUAUUUCAAAAUUUCAUAUUUGUGAUGAACGAGUAACAGCAAAUAUCUCCGGCUGCAGAGUGAAGAGAAAGUUGCGUUAUUAACAUAUUGCUUCUGUUUCACACAGCUGCUCUCAUACCUCACACUGAGAGUUUUUCUCAUAGAAGAUUGUUUAAAAAAGUUUGUUUAUUUAUUGUGGGCACAUUAAAAUUUAUUAUCAUGAAAACCUUUAUUAGAAAAGAUAUAAAAUACAAAAUGAAAAUAGGUUAUUAUAUAGAUUAUUUCUUA